rnacentral:lncRNA from 1 species
GAUGGGGAAGAGAGGGGCAUAGAAACACGGUCCACAAGAUAUUAAAGAGCGUGGAGUAAUGGGUUUUCAUUUGGAAAGUCUGGGAAAGCACAGGAGCCAAUGACCUUGAAAUCUGAGGCUCGGACUCACAGCGUUUGCUUUUGAGUUUUAGGGAAAUGCAACCAUAUUUAAAAGAAGAGGAAUUUAAGCAGUGUGUUAAUCUUGGGGAUGUUUGGGCCUGGCGUUCUUUACCUGGAGACACUAUGGCAAUGUGGUAAAGUAACACACGGUGAGCUUGAUAUAAAGGAUAAAAUCACUCACUCAUUAGCUGUCCCUGAGCCUCAGGUUUGUACCUAAGGGGCUGCUCACUUUGGCGGCUCUACAUGUCUGCCACUCUUCCCCUCAGCUUCCCCUAGCCCAGCUGCAAGAGCCCCACACCGAGUCCCUGGCCCACACCCCCAUGCCAGCCGCAGAAAGCUCAAGUGUCUCACAGACACAGCUUCAGUACGGAGUUGAAGAGUCAAAUCUGCCUCCCUGCCUCUCUGCUCUUUAGGAAGGAACAUGGGUUUCCUGGCCUCUUUGGGCACUCCCAGUGAAGCACACCUUCUCUAAAGACUCAAAGCUGACAUCCACAAGUAAGAGACGGCUUGCCACAUUUGUCUGGGUUACCCCACUUUUUAACUCAUCUACAUCCUUCCUAAAGCCACAGUCGUAUAGCCACAUUGUUACAGCUCCUCUUCUGGAGGCUCAGCCCACCCCUCCUCAUGCCUGGGUUACAGCCACAUUGUUACAGCUCUUCUUCUGAGGGCUGUCUC